UGAGUCACUGCACUCAGCCCACUUGAGGAUCUUGAAUGCUCAGAUUCCACAGAACUCCCUGGGCCUGCAGAAGUGGCCCAGUCCCCCUUGUUGAAAGAUAAACCCCAUUUCCCCCUUCGCUCUUGCUUGUUUGAAAGCUAUUCAGUAGCCUCUAAACAAGGCAAGUAACUUCCAGGAGGAUGCUGGCCCAUCUCAGGAUCUGCCCCCUCCUACCUGCCUGGCCACCAGACCCAUAACUCCUCUGAAAUCAAGGCUCAAGAGAGAGGUUUAAUGAUUUGCCCAGCACUUACACAGGUGAUGUGUGACAGAGCGAGGCUGUAAUCCAAAGUGGAACUAGUGAUGAGAUUCUUUACAGCAAGCUGCAUUCACUAAGGCAGUUUUCCUUUCUAAAUAAAUCUCUCAGACUUUCACUGAGUCAAUAGAGAUGGGAAACCGGUGAUGAUCACUAUCUCCCUAUAAACAAGUAUCAUACACUCAGAUUAUUAAGUUACUACCCAGUCCAUUUUUUUUUUCAUUGACAUUUCCCAUAUGCAAGGCUGGCUACAUAAUUUCCAGGACCCAGUGCAAAAUUAAAAUGUGGGGCACAUUUUUAAAAGCACAGAAAACUUUUCCUGUGGCAGCAGCGGUGCUGAGAGGAGCAUGGCUCUCUCCUCUCCGCCAUGGUGUGUGCUCACCCACUGAUAUCGCUGUACUCUGAAAAGGGGGAGUCAUCUGACAAAAAUGUCACUUUGCCUGCUGUAUUCAAGGCUCCUAUUCGACCAGAUAUUGUGAACUUUGUUCACACCAACUUGCACAAACACAACAGACAGCUGUAUGCUGUCGGUGAAUUAGCAGGUCAUCAGACCAGUGCUGAGUCUUUGGGUACUGACAGAGCUGUGGCUCAAAUUCCCAGAGUUCGAGGUGGUGGGACUCACCUUUCUGGCCAGGGUGCUUCAGGAAACGUGUUAUGGAGGCCGAAUGUUUGCACCAACCAAAACCUGAUGCCGUUAGCAUCAUAGAGUGAACCCAACCCAAAAACGAUAUGCCAUCUGUUCUACCCUGGCUGCCUCAGCCUUACUAGCACUGGUCAUAUCUAAAGGUCAUCGUAUUGAGGAAGUUCCUGAACUUCCUUUGGUAGUCGAAGAUAAAGUUGGAGGAUACAAGAAGAUCAAGGAGGCUGUUUUGCUUCUUAAGAAACUUAAAGCCUGGAAUGAUAUCAAAAAGGACUAUGCCUCUCAGCAAAUGAGAGUUGGCAAGGGCAAAAUGAGAAACCGUCACCGUAUCCAGCACAGAGGCCCCUGCAUCAUCCAUCAUGAGGAUAAUGGUAUCAUCAAGGCCUUCAGAAACAUCCCUGGAAUUACUCUGCUUAACGUAAGCAAACUGAACAUUUUGAAACUUGCUCCUGGUGGGCCUGUGGGACGUUUCUGCAUUUGGACCGAAAGUGCUUUCCGGAAGUUAGAUGAAUUGUAUGGCAUUUGCCGUAAAGCUGCUUCCCCCAAGAGUAACUACAAUCUUCCCAUCCACAAGAUGAUCAAUACAGAUCGUAGCAAAAUCUUAAAAAGCCCAGAGAUCCAGAGAGCCCUUCGAGCACCACGCAAGGAGAUUCAUUGCAGAGUCCUAAAGAAGAACCCACUGAAAAAUGUGAGAAUCAUGUUGAAGCUAAACCCAUAUGCAAAGACCAUGCGUCGGAACACCAUUCUUCGCCAGGCCAGGAAUCACAAGCUCGGAGUGGAUAAGGCAGCAGCGGCAGCUGCCGCACUAGAAGCCAAAUCGGAUGAGAAGUAGGUUGCAGGCAAGAAGCCUGUGGUAGGUAAGAAAGGAAAGAAGCCUGCUGUUGAUGUUAAAAAGCAGAAGAAACCUCUGGUGGGAAAAAAGGCAGCAGCUACCAAAAAACCAGCCCCUGAAAAGAAGCCAGCAGAAAAGAAGCCUACUACAGAGGAAGAGAAGUCUGCUGCAUAAACUCUUAAAUUUGACUAUUCCAUAAAGAUCAAAUCAUUUUGGACAGCUUCUUUUGAAUAAAGACCUGAUCAAAGAGGCAGUGA